UAUAUUAUUUAUUGUGUUCAAUUCUAUUUGGAUUUUGUGCUUAUAUUUGGAGUUAUAUUUGGGUAAGAGUUUAGUGAUUAGAGUUUAGUCUUAACUUACGCUAAGAACCCCACUUUAAGAGCCCCGGGUUAAUCAUGCUCUUAGUAUUUAGAAGGUGAAGGAGUAUGGUUGAGGUCGGCAAUAACUUCUUUCACGCAAUUAUAGAUAUUUUAUAAUUUCACAAAUAUGUAUUAUGUUAUUUAUUUUGUUCAACAAUUUCUCUAUUUCAUGUGUCUCGUGUAGAAUAG
rnacentral:lncRNA from 1 species